UAGGGAAUCUUCGGCAAUGGACGGAAGUCUGACCGAGCAACGCCGCGUGAGUGAAGAAGGUUUUCGGAUCGUAAAGCUCUGUUGUAAGAGAAGAACGAGUGUGAGAGUGGAAAGUUCACACUGUGACGGUAACUUACCAGAAAGCCACGGCUAACUACGUGCCAGCAGCCGCGGUAAUACGUAGGUGGCAAGCGUUGUCCGGAAUUAUUGGGCGUAAAGCGCGCGCAGGUGGUUUAAUAAGUCUGAUGUGAAAGCCCACGGCUCAACCGUGGAGGGUCAUUGGAAACUGUUAAACUUGAGUGCAGGAGAGAAAAGUGGAAUUCCUAGUGUAGCGGUGAAAUGCGUAGAGAUUAGGAGGAACACCAGUGGCGAAGGCGGCUUUUUGGCCUGUAACUGACACUGAGGCGCGAAAGCGUGGGGAGCAAACAGGAUUAGAUACCCUGGUAGUCCACGCCGUAACGAUGAGUGCUAAAUGUUGGUCUCAUAAGAGAUCAGUGCUGCAGCUAACGCAUUAAGCACUCCGCCUGGGGAGUACGACCGCAAGGUUG
rnacentral:rRNA from 1 species